rnacentral:lncRNA from 1 species
AUCCGUCACCUGACACGGCCCUACCAGGAACAGCCGCGCUCCCGCGGAUUCUGGUGCUGCUCGCGUCCCCGCUCCCCUAUUCCCCUUAUUUUAUUCCUGGCUCCCCUCGUCGAAAGUCUUCCAUUCUUCAAACUAGAUUAUUUAAAAAUGAAAAAGGAAGAAAGGAAAGCGAGGUCAUCUCAUUGCUCUAUCCGCCAAUCAGGAGGCUGAAUGUCAGUUUUGAACUAAAAGCCGCUCCGCUCCUCUUCUAGAUUUGGAAAACAAGCGAAAUUAAACUAAACCGCUGCACGCCUCUGACGCGACAUCUGGACACGGCGCGGCGCUGGCGCUGCCGGAGCUGUCGACCCGGCCUGGCGCCGGACUAGCUGGGAGACAGGAAAAGCGGUCCUGUUUGGGAACAGUAAAAGCAGGGCAAGGAAAGGAAGGAGCGGCAGAAAGGAGGGGUGAGUCGAGGACACAGGGGCAGCCGGAGAAUGCGGAGGAGCCGGGUCCUGAGCGCGGUCUAAGCGAGGCUCGGCUCUCGUCCAGGAACUCGGACGC